rnacentral:sRNA from 1 species
UUUACACUGCUAUUUCUCUUGCUGUGCAGAAGCCUUUUAGUUUAAUUAGGUCCCAUUUAUUUAUGUUUUUGUUGCAUUUGCUUUUGGGGUCUUAGUCAUGAAUUCUUUGCCUAAGCCAAUGUCUGGAAGAGUUUUUCUGAUGUUAUCUUCUAGAACUUGUAUUGGUUUCAGGUUUUAGCUUUCAGCCUUUGACCAUCUUGAGUUGAUUUUUGUGUAAGGUGAGAGAUGAGGAUCUGGUUUCUGAAGGGGAAUUUGUGUUGGCCUAGUGGCGCCUGAGAUGCAGGUUAAUCCUCCUUAUGGAAGGCAACUAUUACUAGGAUGGGUACCUGAUGACACCACACUUUUUCUCUCAGCUGAGCUUUCAACCUUAAAUGGGGCAUUAGUGCCGGGGCACCUCUGCAUAGUCCUAACCCACUGGAGAGGCCUUCCUAAGGAGAGCAGGUUAAGCAGAUGUCUGAGUCUUCGCCUGAUCGUCAUCGUAGAUUUCCUCCUAGGAAAACAAGGACUGUUUUAUCAUUUGACUCCCACAGUAUCAUCUGCAAAUAAGUGCGUACCUAGGAAUGAUGACUUGGCCCCAUCAGAAUGCUCACAGCAGCCCGCCUGGUUGUUGUAGGAGUGUGUGAUAGAAAGGAAUGGGGGAGAACAGCCAUUGACACUGGUAGGGUAAGAAAGGAACUGGGAUGCUUGCCCUUCUGACCCUAGAGAUUUAUGCCCUAGGUGUGGCUGUAUGAAUGAGAAGUUUUUCUGCCUCCCUACUAGUAUACAGGUCAUCACUCACCAUCACCAAGGCAGCGGAGGAAGAGAGCAUCAGUACAGGAUCUGGUGUUAGCCUUAGGUCCAAGGCCCAGCUCUGAACCUCACCAUGUGACCUGGGCACAUCACCUAGUUACUCCAAGACCCGGUUUUCUAAUUUUUCUAAAAAUAGAGCCAUGCCUGUCCUAUCUGCUUCACAGAAUUGCUAAUAAGAUUUAGAUUAAAUGAAAUUACAGAUGGGAAAGCUGAAAAAUAUGUAUGAAUAUUAGUUUUGUAAAAGGUUUACCCUACAAAAAGGGUUUCUGCUCUUUGUCCCUUGCCCUCUGGACUCAUAAGUCUUCUGUUCUUUUCUCCAGGUUACCUGUGCAUGACAGAUGAGUGGUUCUCUGAGUAUGUCUACGAAGUGGUGGUGGACAGGAAGCAUGUCCCUGAAGAGGUGCUAGCUGUGUUAGAGCAGGAACCCAUUAUCCUGCCAGCAUGGGACCCCAUGGGAGCUUUGGCUGAGUGAUACUACCCUCCAGCUCUUUCCUCCUUCCAUGGAACCUGACGUAGCUGCAAAGGACAGAUCCAGGGACUGAAGCCAAAGUUAUGCAAGGGACUGUGUGUUGCCACAGGACACAGUCAGAUUUCCAAUCUCCACCAGGAACCUCUUCAGAAAGUGUGCUUUAUGCUGAAACAGAAUACUGUUAAAGGAAAAAAAAGAGGGGGGAAGAUCAGGUCAUACCAUCUACUCUCCUCAUCUCUAACAGCUCAGGAUCUCUUAGCAUUUUAAUUAGAUGUAAUUGUUUGUCUUUAACUGUCAAAAAGUUUGGUUCUGUGUCUGUGUUUUAAUAAGACAAGAGAGGACGAGCGAUUGAGGUGUAUGGAGAGAAAACAGACCUAAUGCUCCUUGUUCCUAGAGUAGAGUGGAGGGAGGGUGGCCUAAGAGUUGAGCUCUCGGAACUGCAUGCUGCUGGACAGUAUCACUGUCUUUCCUAGAUGGCAGUCACUGAAUUCCAUUUUUUCAAGGUAAUUUCUUGUGCCUCUAAUAGCCCAAGGAUGGGAGGUUGAUCAGAUCUGACAUGAUUCCUUCCUGUUCUGAACUGUGGGGUGCACAUCUCUGCUUGAGUCAGGUUUGAGUAGAGGCUUAGAGACAGUUGGGUGAGAACAACCAAAAUCUUAUCAUGGUCUCAGUCAUAAUCAUUAGGGGGAACUCUAGCCAAAUGGUUUAACUUCUGCCUGUGGAACUGGGGAUUGGGUGGGCAGGAAAAGGUGAUAUCCAUUCUUUCUGAUAACUAGAUGGUGCUGAGAAGCUUUUGAAUAAAAACUUUGCUAAAUGAG